rnacentral:sRNA from 1 species
AUCAAUACCGUAUUGUAUUGAAAUAAGCACUUUUGGUAUCAACUUUUCUCUCGGUGUAUGAGCAGAGUACUAUUCUCAGCCAACGUUAUUUUAUAUGGAGCAUUCCGCAUUCCGCUCGAAAAUCUGAACAGUAUACCCUGCUUAACAGAAAGUUUAGUCACUUACGAUAACAUAAAGUGGAAAGGGCCCAUGAAUAUAAUAGAGAUUGUAAAAUCUGUCUAUUGUGAAUGUUACCAAAAGGUGUGUGUGUCGAAUGGUAGCAAAGUUGUAGGGAUAGUAAAAAUAUGACGUUAAGUGUUGUUAUGUGAGUAUCCCAGUGGCUAGUAAGAUUUUUGACAGCAGAGCAAACUUUGACCUUUCAUUGAGCAAAGUCCAAUUUCAGUAAUUGUAAAUUCAUUUGCGUUUUGGUAACCAACUUGCGUGCGGCAUAACUUAGCCGCCUACAUUGUGAGCAGACGCCACUAAAUUUUAACGACUUAUUUGGCAUAAAAUAACUAAAAUUAUUGCUUAUUAUCAUUGGCAACGGGAUUCUAAAAGCAAAAGGGCUCAUUCAUUCAGCAAACGAGUGAACGAAAUACAAACAGCAAAAACUUUUCUAUCUCGUGCAUGGAAAAAAGAAAAUAAUUGAAAAAUAAGCCAAGGAUUUAUACCAAUUUAGUUGAACAGAAAAAACACAUACUA